rnacentral:rRNA from 1 species
GACGAACGCUGGCGGCGUGCCUAAUACAUGCAAGUAGAACGCUGAAGGAGGAGCUUGCUUCUCUGGAUGAGUUGCGAACGGGUGAGUAACGCGUAGGUAACCUGCCUGGUAGCGGGGGAUAACUAUUGGAAACGAUAGCUAAUACCGCAUAAGAGUAGAUGUCGCAUGACAUUUGCUUAAAAGGUGCAAUUGCAUCCCUACCAGAUGGACCUGCGUUGUAUUAGCUAGUUGGUGAGGUAACGGCUCACCAAGGCAACGAUACAUAGCCGACCUGAGAGGGGGAUCGGCCACACUGGGACUGAGACACGGCCCAGACUCCUACGGGAGGCAGCAGUAGGGAAUCUUCGGCAAUGGACGGAAGUCUGACCGAGCAACGCCGCGUGAGUGAAGAAGGUUUUCGGAUCGUAAAGCUCUGUUGUAAGAGAAGAACGAGUGUGAGAGUGGAAAGUUCACACUGUGACGGUAUCUUACCAGAAAGGGACGGCUAACUACGUG